rnacentral:lncRNA from 1 species
CUCUGUCUGAGACUUUGGGGUUGUCCAAUAAAGUGUUUGAAAUGCUAUUUUUUCUUUCAGUAGCUCUCUAGAGAAUAUCAGGAAGAGCCAAGAGGAAGCAGCAUGCAGAGUGCAUCCAGGCCUGUGGCACUCCAGAGCUGUGGCCCUUGGGAAUUCUGCUGACAGUUCUGCCACUGCCAAGCAGCCCCGAGACACCGAGUGCUGAGCCCAGCGAUCCUGCACGGGCAGCGCCGCUGACAAAGCCCGCGAAGAGGCGAAGGAGCCGCGGGAAGCGCUCCCUCCCCGGCCGCUGCCUCCCGGAAGAUGGAGCUGUUUCCCUGACACAGCUGAUGGAGACCUGGUAAGUUCAGUGUCACGUGCAGUUGGGGAAUUCUUACAGAUGUCAGAGAUUUCUUCUUCACAGCUGAGAGAAAGAAAUGAGCCCACUGACCAUAAUUAUUUUAUUAUAAAAUAAGAG